CUUGCGGCCAUAUUACGUUGAAACACUAUUUCCCGUACGAUCACCGAAGUUAAGCAACAUCGAACCUGGUCAGUACCAAAAUGGGUGACCACUUGGGAAUAUUCUG